rnacentral:tRNA from 1 species
GCUCAGUUGGUAAAGCACAAGGCUCUUAACCUUGUGGACGUGGAUUCAAAUCCCAU